rnacentral:rRNA from 1 species
AACCGUAGCCCCACUAGUCUGGGAGUACCAACUUGGAAACAAGGUAGCUAAUAACCGGAUAAGAAAGCGGAUCGCAUGAUCAGCUUUUAAAAGGCGGCGUAAGCUGUCGCUAUGGGAUGGCCCCGCGGUGCAUUAGCUAGUUGGUAAGGUAAAGGCUUACCAAGGCGAUGAUGCAUAGCCGAGUUGAGAGACUGAUCGGCCACAUUGGGACUGAGACACGGCCCAAACUCCUACGGGAGGCAGCAGAC